UAGAGUUUGGAUCCUGGCUCAGGACGAACGCUGGCGGCGUGCCUAAUACAUGCAAGUCGAGCGGACUUAAAAAGCUUGCUUUUUAAGUUAGCGGCGGACGGGUGAGUAACACGUGGGCAACCUGCCUGUAAGACUGGGAUAACUUCGGGAAACCGGAGCUAAUACCGGAUAAUCCUUUUCUACUCAUGUAGGAAAGCUGAAAGACGGUUUACGCUGUCACUUACAGAUGGGCCCGCGGCGCAUUAGCUAGUUGGUGAGGUAACGGCUCACCAAGGCGACGAUGCGUAGCCGACCUGAGAGGGUGAUCGGCCACACUGGGACUGAGACACGGCCCAGACUCCUACGGGAGGCAGCAGUAGGGAAUCUUCCGCAAUGGACGAAAGUCUGACGGAGCAACGCCGCGUGAGUGAUGAAGGUUUUCGGAUCGUAAAACUCUGUUGUUAGGGAAGAACAAGUACGAGAGUAACUGCUCGUACCUUGACGGUACCUAACCAGAAAGCCACGGCUAACUACGUGCCAGCAGCCGCGGUAAUACGUAGGUGGCAAGCGUUGUCCGGAAUUAUUGGGCGUAAAGCGCGCGCAGGCGGUCCUUUAAGUCUGAUGUGAAAGCCCACGGCUCAACCGUGGAGGGUCAUUGGAAAUGGGGGGCGGUGUGUGCAGAAGAGAAGAGUGGAAUUCCACGUGUAGCGGUGAAAUGCGUAGAGAUGUGGAGGAACACCAGUGGCGAAGGCGACUCUUUGGUCUGUAACUGACGCUGAGGCGCGAAAGCGUGGGGAGCAAACAGGAUUAGAUACCCUGGUAGUCCACGCCGUAAACGAUGAGUGCUAAGUGUUAGAGGGUUUCCGCCCUUUAGUGCUGCAGCAAACGCAUUAAGCACUCCGCCUGGAGUGCCA
rnacentral:rRNA from 1 species